rnacentral:lncRNA from 1 species
UUCGUGAACAUUCCAAAAUAAUAAACAGCCCAAAAUCUAGAAGUCCAAAUGAAAUCAAGCCUACCAUCAAACCAACUAAAUACGCGGAAUCAAAAUCUUUCACUACUUAAGAAAGAGAAUGCAUGCAAAUAUUCGACAAAAGAGAAAAUUUAAAAAAAUAAAGCGGCUCCCAUAUAAAAAUCAAAUCCAGACAGAAGUGACGCGAUAAACCUCAAUCAAUAUCGAUUUAUUUGAGCGUGAUUCAUCAGACAAUAGUAGUAUGGUCUCGAGGCGCAAACGUCACAAAGUCAGAUUUCCCUCCAACAAGCAGAAGCAUAGCCACAAGCCCUCAAUAACACCCAGACUCCAAAGAACUGCAACCCUUAACCAUCAAAGUGCUAGAAAUCUGUAGAAAUAAAAAAAAAAAAAAAUCAAACCUAAAAUAUAACCAUCUGUCUUUGGCGACAAAAACUAAGGACAGAGGUAAUUUUCCAUCCUAAAACAGAGAAUAUUAAAAUAAGAAAAAAAAAUGAAAGCAAAACCAAAAAAGGAUUAAAACGAUCGAACAAAAAAAACAGAACCCCACUCUGACAACCUUUGCACUCUUCUUCUUCCCAGUCUCGCUUCUCUUUCUUCUCUCUCUUUCUAUUUUACCUAAUUAACCAACUCUACAGGAAAUUAAGGGUGUCUCUUGCCCUCUCUCACUCUUUUUCCAAGAAAGAUGGGUCUCACAUUUCAUGUCAGUG